rnacentral:rRNA from 1 species
UACGUAGGGAGCAAGCGUUGUCCGGAUUUACUGGGCGUAAAGGGCGCGUAGGCGGUCUAUUAAGUGUGGUGUGAAAUCUCCAGAGCUCAACUCGGAAACUGCACCGCAUACUGGUAGACUAGAGGAAGGUAGAGGUAGAUAGAAUUCCUGGUGUAACGGUGACAUGUGUAGAUAUCAGGAGGAAUACCGAUGGCGAAGGCAGUCUACUGGGCCUUUCCUGACGCUGAGGCGCGAAAGCGUGGGUAGCAAACAGA